UCCCUGGAGCUCAGUGGUUAGAGCCCUCGCCUGGCAAGCGAGAGAGGACCCGGGUUCGAUUCCCGGGCGGAUCAGGGAG